GACGAACGCUGGCGGCGUGCUUAACACAUGCAAGUCGAACGAUUGGCGAACGGGGGAGUAACACGUGGGUGAACCGCCCUGCACUUCGGGAUAAGCCUGGGAAACAGGGUCUAAUACAGGAUAGUGUGGGAGGGGCCCGCGGCCUAUCAGCGUGUGGGUGGGGUAAUGGCUACCAAGGCGCGACGGGUAGCCGGCCUGAUAGGGUGGCCGGCCACAGUGGGACUGAGACACGGCCCAGACUCCUACGGGAGGCAGCAGUAGGGAAUAUUGCACAAUGGGCGGAAGCCUGAUGCAGCCAUGCCGCGUGUAUGAAGAAGGCCUUAGGUUUGUAAAGUUCUUUCAGCGGGGAGGCGUUACCCGCAGAAGAAGCACCAGCUAACUACGUGCCAGCAGCCGCGGUAAUUC
rnacentral:rRNA from 1 species